GAUGAACGCUGGCGGCGUGCCUAAUACAUGCAAGUCGAGCGAAUGGAUUGAGAGCUUGCUCUUAUGAAGUUAGCGGCGGACGGGUGAGUAACACGUGGGUAACCUGCCCAUAAGACUGGGAUAACUCCGGGAAACCGGGGCUAAUACCGGAUAACAUUUUGAACCGCAUGGUUCGAAAUUGAAAGGCGGCUUCGGCUGUCACUUAUGGAUGGACCCGCGUCGCAUUAGCUAGUUGGUGAGGUAACGGCUCACCAAGGCAACGAUGCGUAGCCGACCUGAGAGGGUGAUCGGCCACACUGGGACUGAGACACGGCCAAGACUCCUACGGGAGGCAGCAGUAGGGAAUCUUCCGCAAUGGACGAAAGUCUGACGGAGCAACGCCGCGUGAGUGAUGAAGGCUUUCGGGUCGUAAAACUCUGUUGUUAGGGAAGAACAAGUGCUAGUUGAAUGAGCUGGCACCUUGACGGUACCUAACCAGAAAGCCACGGCUAACUACGUGCCAGCAGCCGCCGUAA
rnacentral:rRNA from 1 species